AUGAAUAUCGACGGCGUGAUUCCAUGUUCUGUUCAAAAGUGGGUUAGCCAAGUUGACAAACUGUCACCCAGUCAGAAAUUCAGGUUUUAUGAAACGGAUAUGCAGGGCAUGUUUAGAAUACCAUCGAUAAAGAUGCGUGAUUUUUUGCUUCACUUUUUACUCCAAAGUUACAAUCCGAGUAGCAAAAAAUUCAUGGUUCAAGAGAGUUCUGGAAGUACUGCUGGAUGUAAAGGUCUUAUUUCAUUAAGGCCUGAUGAUGUGUACUCCAUAUUUGGUUGGAAAAACAAUGGAGUGGAUGUUUUUGGGUUUCUUAGUACCGAAGGAGAAAAAGCAACCAAAAAAAUAUCUGUUAGUUUUGUUAGCAAGAAAAAUGGUAAGAUCAUGAUUGAUGAUCUCAUAGAAAAGAUUGUGAAGGAUAAGAGCACUGAUGAUGACUUUAUUCGGAUGACAUUUCUAGUUCUCUUAGGAACUAUAAUUGCACCAGUGUCUCAUGAAUACGUUCCGAAAAAAUACUAUGCCUUAGUGCAAAAUAUUAAGUUGAUAAGGAAGUUCAACUGGAAUGCAUUCACUUCACGAUUCUGUUUAUCGGAGAUUGGUAAGCUUGUGCAGGACGGCCAUGUUAGGCAGUGGCCCCAGGGGAACCUCGCCCUUUUGCAAGUACGUUGUAUUUAUUAA
rnacentral:rRNA from 1 species